rnacentral:rRNA from 1 species
UGCCUAUAGCAUAAUGUUAAUGCAUUGGAUCCCAUUAGAACUCCACAGUUAAGUGCACUCGAGCUAGAGUAGUAUUGGGAUGGGUGACCACCUGGGAAGUCCUAGUGUUUUAGAUGC